rnacentral:rRNA from 1 species
UACGUAGGGAGCAAGCGUUGUCCGGAAUCAUUGGGCGUAAAGCGCGCGUAGGUGGCUUCGUAAGUCCGUUGUGAAAGUCAAAGGCUCAACCUUUGAAAGCCGAUGGAUACUGUGAAGCUAGAGUACGGAAGAGGCGAGUGGAAUUCCUGGUGUAGCGGUGGAAUGCGCAGAUAUCAGGAGGAACACCAAUAGCGAAGGCAGCUCGCUGGGACGUGACUGACGCUGAGACGCGAAAGCGUGGGGAGCAAACAGG